rnacentral:lncRNA from 1 species
CAAGCCGGUGUGUGGAACCGAGAUGUUGAGCUUUUUGUCCGCUCGACAGUCAGGGUUGGAGGACCCUCUUCGCUUGCGUAGAGCGCAGUCUACACGGAGGGUCCUGGGCCUGGAGUUAAACAAAGACAGGGAUGUUGAAAGAGUCCACUGCAGCGGAGUCAACACUCUGGACAUUGAACCUGUCGAAGGACGAUACAUGUUGUCAGGUGGUUCCGAUGGUGUGAUUGUACUCUAUGACCUUGAGAACGCCAGCAGACAGCCCUAUUACACAUGUAAAGCAGUGUGUUCCGUUGGCAGAAGCCAUCCUGAUGUCCACAAAUACAGCGUGGAGACGGUUCAGUGGUAUCCUCAUGACACUGGCAUGUUCACAUCCAGCUCAUUUGAUAAAACUCUGAAAGUAUGGGAUACAAACACAUUGCAGGCUGCAGAUGUGUUUAAUUUUGAGGAAACAGUUUACAGUCAUCACAUGUCCCCAGCAGCCACCAAGCACUGUCUGGUAGCAGUUGGAACUAGAGGACCCAAGGUCACAGACAGGAAAUAUUGGCAGUUUCCUGGUCACCACGCUAUGACUAUAUCUUGGCAACAGCAAGCGCUGACAGUAGAGUAAAAUUAUGGGAUGUGAGAAGAGCAUCAGGAUGUUUGCUUACUCUUGACCAGCAUAACGGGAAAAAGUCACAAGCUGUUGAAUCAGCAAACACUGCUCACAAUGGGAAAGUUAACGGCUUAUGUUUUACAAGUGACGGGCUUCACCUGCUCACGGUUGGCACAGACAACCGAAUGAGGCUCUGGAAUAGCUCCAGCGGGGACAACACACUGGUAAACUACGGGAAAGUGUGUAACAGCAGCAGGAAAGGGCUGAAGUUCACUGUCUCCCAUGGCUGCAACUCAGAGUUUGUGUUUGUUCCCUACGACAGCACCAUUGCCAUGUAUGCAGUCUACUCAGGAGAGCGGCUCGCCAUGCUUAAGGGACAUUACAAAAGUGUCGACUGCUGUGUGUUUCAGCCUAAUUUCCAGGGCUUUGAACUCAAUUCUUCAUGCUUCCAGAAUAGCCUGGUUAUCUAUUUUCCUGGCCUCAGCCUGGGGAACUUUACAGUGGUAGCAGGGACUGCAAUAUUCUCGCUUGGGUGCCAGCUUCAUAUGAACCAGUUCCUGAUGAUGACGAUGAAGCUCCAACCAAAUCGAGGUUGAACCCAGCAUUCACGGAUGCCUGGAGCAGCAGUGACGAGGACGGGUGACUUCAGCCUGGUGCCUCAGCUCCUUGUUCCAUCAGACUUCCACAGCAGUGUUGUGUGCACUUCAGCACGGGGCUGGUCUUUCCAUUGUUGUUGGUUGUCUCACUGUGUAACCCUGGCUAGCAUGGACUAGCCUGGAACUCUGUAUAGAGCAGACUCGGCUCAGACUUGCAGCCAUUCUCCUGCCUUUCCUCCUAGGUGCUGAGGUGUGUACCACAUGACCCGUGGCCCCUCCUGUGCGUGUGCUUAUUUAUUUCAUUGUUUUUUAAACUCUUCUGUCAGUUUCUAGCCUGUUAAACCUGAAUUUAGUAUAUCUCCCUCUGCGUUUUAAAAUGAGAUUAAUAUGUAUAAAACCCUGAAAUAUACUUUUCUAU